AGGCCAGGCUAAUCCCAAAAAAUAGCAUCUCAGUUCGGAUUGGAGUCUGCAACUCGACUCCAUGAAGUCGGAAUCGCUAGUAAUUCCAGAUCAGCAUGCUGGGGUGAAUGCGUUCCCGGGCCUUGUACACACCGCCCGUCACACCAUGGGAGUCGGUAACACCCGAAGUCGGUAGCCUAACCGUAAGGAGGGCGCCGCCGAAGGUGGGAUUGAUGACUGGGGUGAAGUCGUAACAAGGUACC
rnacentral:rRNA from 1 species